AUACCUAACCAACCGGCUCUACCCCUGCCACGAGGCACCGCCAGCCGGCACUAAUAGUUACGUAAUUCGGACGAAAGAAGGAAGUCGAAGCGACUACCCGACUCUUCAGUGGCUGCCAUCCUUGGUGGUCACCAACACCUAACCAACCGGCUCUACCCCUGCCACGAGGGCACCGCCAGCCGGCACGAAUAUUAAAUAACUUGCAUCCAUCAAUUGCAAUGUCGAUUCUGAGUUAAAUUCGUAUUGCUCCUGCUUCAUAGACAAUAUUUAUUGAGAAAAUGCCUCUGUUGUCGGAUUUGGUUAUUGUAGCAGAUACGAUCCUAAAACUAUUAUUUGUGUUCAUGUAAAUAGGAAGUUGUAAUCCUUACUCAGUUGACAAAAUUUUCGAAUUAAAUAUAGUUGUAAUUUUGAAUUCAAAAUAACGAUUUCCCGCCAAUUAAAUUCAAAGCUUAUGGCAACCUUGCAACUGUUUGUCGACAGCUGAUUGUCUAUUUUGAGCACGAAAUUUGAUUGGCCCGACUCUAGGCAAGCACAAUUACGUCGAUCCUUGUUGAAAUGGCGGCAAGGCAAUAAAUUCGCAGGGGAUUCACAUGGACGCCGUUGGCUAAGGCGUUUAAUGCGCGUCCGGGCAGAGGAUAAAUUUUACUCGCAACGAUGUGGCCAUAUCGGACACAGUCGGCAGUUGGCACAGCUACUCGAGUUCUAACGGAUAGCGCAUUCACAAUGCAAGGCUUGUAGGGUGCACCAGCUUUUGUGGUUUGGAAAAAAGCCUCAGCACGAACCAUGACCUUUAUAGAGACUUAGCGCUUGUGUUCCUUUUGCACGAGAAGGAACGGUCACGGAUUGAGCGUCUUAAUGGAAGUUUAUGAAUGGAGCCGUUCUACCCAGUGCAUUGCCGCAAAGCCAUGUCCCUGAAGCCAUUGAAAAUUGUAAUAUACGUUAGAACGCAUAUCGACUUUAUCUGCAACCGACAGAGAACCAGGAGGAACUGCAGCGCAGAUCUGUUGCGAUGCCGCCAUGAGCUGGCCCGCAGUUGUGGUUUUUACUUUCCCGGCAAUUCACACUGUUGCCCGUCACUUUCAGUCUGACCAACUAAUUUCCGAGAAUUUUCUUUCAAGCAUUUUUUGUUGCCAG